rnacentral:rRNA from 1 species
UACGAAGGGGGCUAGCGUUGUUCGGAAUUACUGGGCGUAAAGGGCGCGUAGGCGGCUGUGCAAGUCAGAUGUGAAAGCCCUGGGCUCAACCCAGGAUGUGCAUUUGAUACUGCGCGGCUAGAGUGUCGGAGAGGAUGGUGGAAUUCCCAGUGUAGAGGUGAAAUUCGUAGAUAUUGGGAAGAACACCGGUGGCGGAGGCGACCAUCUGGACGACAACUGACGCUGAGGCGCGAAAGCGUGGGGAGCAAACAGG